rnacentral:rRNA from 1 species
CAGCCGCCGCGGGAAUACGAAGGGUGCAAGCGUUAAUCGGAAUUACUGGGCGUAAAGCGUGCGUAGGCGGUUUGUUAAGUCUGCUGUGAAAUCCCCGGGCUCAACCUGGGAAUGGCAGUGGAUACUGGCAAGCUAGAGUGUGUCAGAGGAUGGUGGAAUUCCCGGUGUAGCGGUGAAAUGCGUAGAGAUCGGGAGGAACAUCAGUGGCGAAGGCGGCCAUCUGGGACAACACUGACGCUGAGGCACGAAAGCGUGGGGAGCAAACAGGAUUAGAUACCCCUGUAGUCCCUGUUUCUUAUAC